AUUGAACGCUGGCGGCAUGCUUUACACAUGCAAGUCGAACGGUAACAGGCCGCAAGGUGCUGACGAGUGGCGAACGGGUGAGUAAUGCAUCGGAACGUGCCCAGUCGUGGGGGAUAACGCAGCGAAAGCUGUGCUAAUACCGCAUACGAUCUAUGGAUGAAAGCGGGGGACCGUAAGGCCUCGCGCGAUUGGAGCGGCCGAUGUCAGAUUAGGUAGUUGGUGGGGUAAAGGCCCACCAAGCCAACGAUCUGUAGCUGGUCUGAGAGGGCGACCAGCCACACUGGGACUGAGACACGGCCCAGACUCCUACGGGAGGCAGCAGUGGGGAAUUUUGGACAAUGGGCGCAAGCCUGAUCCAGCAAUGCCGCGUGCAGGAAGAAGGCCUUCGGGUUGUAAACUGCUUUUGUACGGAACGAAACGGUCUGGGUUAAUACCCUGGGCUAAUGACGGUACCGUAAGAAUAAGCACCGGCUAACUACGUGCCAGCAGCCGCCGCCGUAA
rnacentral:rRNA from 1 species